AGCAGUGGGGAAUAUUGGACAAUGGGCGAAAGCCUGAUCCAGCCAUGCCGCGUGUGUGAAGAAGGUCUUCGGAUUGUAAAGCACUUUAAGUUGGGAGGAAGGGCAGUAAGCGAAUACCUUGCUGUUUUGACGUUACCGACAGAAUAAGCACCGGCUAACUCUGUGCCAGCAGCCGCGGUAAUACAGAGGGUGCAAGCGUUAAUCGGAAUUACUGGGCGUAAAGCGCGCGUAGGUGGUUUGUUAAGUUGAAUGUGAAAUCCCCGGGCUCAACCUGGGAACUGCAUCCAAAACUGGCAAGCUAGAGUAGGGCAGAGGGUGGUGGAAUUUCCUGUGUAGCGGUGAAAUGCGUAGAUAUAGGAAGGAACGCCAGUGGCGAAGGCGACCACCUGGGCUCAUACUGACACUGAGG
rnacentral:rRNA from 1 species